UACGUAGGGCGCAAGCGUUGCCCGGAUUUAUUGGGCGUAAAGGGCGCGUAGGCGGCCACGCACGUCCGUUGUGAAAUCGCCCGGCUCAACUGGGCGGGGUCAGCGGAUACGGUGUGGCUCGAGCAAGCUAGGGGGCAAUGGAAUUCCCGGUGUAGUGGUGGAAUGCGUAGAUAUCGGGAGGAACACCAGUGGCGAAGGCGGUUGCCUGGAGCUUUGCUGACGCUGAGGCGCGAAAGCGUGGGGAACAAACAGG
rnacentral:rRNA from 1 species